GAUGAACGCUGGCGGAGUGCCUAACACAUGCAAGUCGAGCGGCAGCGCGAGUAGUUUACUACUUGGCGGCGAGCGGCGGACGGCUGAGUAACGCGUGGGAACGUGCCCCAAAGUGAGGAAUAACUGCCCGAAAGGGUAGCUAAUGCCGCAUAUGAUCUUCGGAUUAAAGUAUUUAUUACGCUUUGGGAGCGGCCCGCGUCCGAUUAGAUAGUUGGUGAGGUAAAGGCUCACCAAGUCUACGAUCGGUAACUGGUCUGAGAGGAUGAUCAGUCAGACUGGAACUGAGACACGGUCCAGACACCUACGGGAGGCUG
rnacentral:rRNA from 1 species